rnacentral:lncRNA from 1 species
UUUUUUGUUUCAUCUGGUGCAUAAUAUUUAUUUCAGGUUUCCUGAGAAGUUGCAACAGGACAUUCAAGGACAGGGAAUCCAAGAACAGCUUCAAAGCCUUUGCAAUUUAUGCGUGCGGCAAUCCAAGAAAGCUGCAUGAGCAAAUGGGCAGCUUAGAGCUCCAUAUUUCCAGGUUUGGAUUUGCUCUCAUGCUAUGGUAUUUUCAAUUUAAUUAAUUUAUAAAUCUUGGUGGUGUUAGGAGAGUUUGUGCCCUUCUUUAAUUUUGGACUGGCUACUGGUUGAUUCCUAUCCCAGGAAAAUUUCCCCAAAUAUAACUUGUGAUGAAAUAAGUAGUCAUGUUUAGAAGUUACUAAUUACGAUCUCAUGGUUUGUUGCAGAUCUUUCCCGGUAAUGGAGUUCUUGUUCACACAUUUAAUUAGACCAACCAUCACCUGGGCUCUGUCCUUGCCUUCUUGGCCGCUAUGAUGGGAAUGUCCAU